rnacentral:misc_RNA from 1 species
UCUCCGUAGGUGAACCUGCGGAGGGAUCAUUACUGAGUGAGGGUUUAACCGCCCGACCUCCAACCCUUUGUGAAUCGUACUCGUUGCUUCGGGGGCGACCCUGCCGUUUCGAUGGCGAGCGCCCCCGAAGGUCUCCCAACACUGCAUCUUUGCGUCGGAGUCUUAAAGAAAUUUAAACAAAACUUUCAACAACGGAUCUCUUGGUUCUGGCAUCGAUGAAGAACGCAGC